AUGCAGUUCAGCUUAUAUUUAUGAAGCCCUGGUAAAAUGUUAAGCACUCUAGUAGUGCUGAAGAUUAAUAUUAUUAUGCUCUGCUGAGCACACAGCUCUUUCAAUAGGCAAUCCAAACAGGUCUUGACAGAGUCUGGAUAGGAAAACAACACCAAGAAACCCCUUGUUGCAUUUUUUCCUGCAAGCAAAAGGCUGAGAUGUAUCUGGCUGGAGGUUACUCUUUCCCUGUGUGUUUCUCUUAAAUCUGUGAGUCACCACAUAACUCACAGGAAGAAAGGUAAAGAAGAUGUCUUUUUUCAUAUUUUUUUACAGCUCUGAUGCCUCUUCAUGUUCACAGUAAGUGCAGAAAAACUGUACUUGCUGUGAUUUCUUUUGAUCUUGGACUGGCACCUGCUGGUGCAGGGAACUGGAGGCACUGUGAUGAAUGAUGGCUCAGCAGCAGCCAGCCACACUGAGGUUAGAGAUCGCGGAGUUGAUGAGCAAAGUUAAGGUGCCCCUCCCUGGGGCUCAGGCAUGGAGAUGGAGAGGCUGCAGUCUCCAGCAUCCCUGGCAACACACAAGGUACCAACCUCGGAAACAUUUGCGCUCUGCAGAGGCUUCAUCACUCAAAGCAAGGCCCAGUCUGUAUUUGGACCCUGGCUCACCUCACUUGGGACUGCAGGAGGUGAGAGGGCAGUGCCCCACACAGGUAGUUCCAGGGGAGAACCUGCAGCAGCCGUGAUGUGACAAUGGAUGUGUGUGCAGGAGCCUCCCAAGGCACAGCACAGCUGGCAGGCAGACUGCCUGCAAGGAGGGCUGGGUGCAUCGUUUGUACUUAGGGGAAUUAGCAAGUAAAAGCAUCUGGGAGAUCUCAGUCUAGCAAAGCAUUCAAGUACCUGUUAAAAUUUAAUCAAAUCAAUAGUUUGUUGACUUUGGUGGAACUAAUUAUGUGCCUCAUUUUCAGGAUGUUUUUAAGUGCUUGGCUGGAUUCAUGUUUGAAAUAUAAGUUAGUACUGAGUUUUGUGUAUUCUAAUGCAGGUAAGUGUGGAGAAAACAGAAGGCAAUACCACCCCUAACAUGAAUGCUACUAAACUUGUUUUGGAAGAAUCAGGUAAUUGCAGUUCAAGGUGGAAAGCUAGCCAUUUGUUUUGCAUGAGAACAUGUUUUACAGUUUCCUCUCCUAGCUCCCUUUAGGACACUGCCAUUAUAGUAUUUUAUUUACCUUGCCCAUCUCCAAGACCCUUCUACUUAUUUCCUCCCUUGUUUUACUGUUCUGGGAACUGGAGUUAAAAGCAAAACAGACCCUUGGAUCUGCAGCAAGCUGGAUUAACUGGGAUAAGCAGCCCUCCCUCUCCUCCCCUGCUCUGCUGUUUGCAGCUGAGUGAUAACAUCAACCAGCCCUUGUUCCUUGCACUGUCCCAUGUGUUUUUUCUUUCUGCUUUUUUUUUUUAACCUGUGACUGGCUUUAAUUCCACAUGCGCCAGUGAACAGCAGCUGCUAAUGCUUGAUCUAACCACUAUGAGAGAAAAGCUUUUACACAGCCUGCAACCUGAGCUUCUGCAAACACAAUUCAAAACUCCAGCUGGUCAAGGUGCACCUCUGCUCACAUUUCCUUUUAUCAGAGGGCUGCAGGGGAUCGUUCUGGGCAGAUUAUUUACUCUCCCCUGUAUGCAGCCUUGCAUUUCAUAUUGGAGCUUGACACCCAGUAACUAAACAGAUAAAUAGUCUUGAGUAAAAAAAAUACUUGCUUUUUGUAGGAUAUACUUAGAUUAUUAGGGGAUCACACACUGUUUGUUUAUUUUAAUAAGCAGGCAGGAGCCAAGACGUGGAUGCUUGUCCGCACCAAAACUCUCUCCCUGUUUAUUUUCAAUCCUUUUUGCCAGCAUAGCUGAGAAUCCAACAUGAGUGAAAAUAAGAAUGUCAGGCUCCAAAUUCCUCAAGGUAUGGUGGUAAAGCCAACAUAGUUGAUGUAGUUUGGUUACUGCCUGGUGGUAUUUAAAAGAACUUUGAAAAGCGGUCUGACCCACAGUACAGGCUGGUGCUGAAGGUUCUGUAUCCAGAGCAGGAAGGUAAGAAAAGCCAAACACUAUGAGAAGACCAAAAUCAGUGGAGGAAAACCACAUACACGUAUGCAGGAGGAGCAUGAAAAGGCUGUCAAGCCUGUUUCCUUCAGGCUUUCUUCACUGCUUUUACUGGCUGGCAAGGAGAAGUGCUUUUUGCAAUGCAGUGGCUGAGACCUGGGCUGGGUCUCACAGACAGGCAGGGGAGACCCUGCUCCUCCUCCUCCAGUGAUUGCAGAGGAAGGCAACGAAGCUUUCUUUUAGCCUCUGAGGUGAGGCAUGAGUCCAAGCCUCUGCCUCUUUAGUUGAUACCCUCUACUCAGCAAAGAAGCAAAAAUGUCCUUGAAAUGUGUGGACAUGAUAGGCACUUGUUUGCCUUGGGUGUCCCCAGGGAAUUCUCAGCUAGUAUAGAUCCUUCUGCAUUGCACCAGUUUGGGGAACAUUAUAGAGAUCCCUCUUGCUUUAUAACCAACCGUGUUACGUAAAGCAUCUGGAUGUGCUACCCUCUGAUGAAAAACCCUCUACAGGAAGAAAUUUGGCAGAGGACAUCAAGACCAGGCCAUUUUGAGCAAAUAAAAGAACCUAAAGCAAGACUUUGAAGUCUGAC
ensembl:lncRNA